rnacentral:lncRNA from 1 species
UCGGUCAGCUAGCCAAACGUUAAUAAGAGUUUAAGCCUGAAAGGAAAAUAAGAGGGUUUUGAUCGGUGUUGAUCGGCCAUUAGAUGGUUUGCUAACCAGCUUAACAUGGCCACUGACUGUACUGGCUGGCUCUGCGAAAGGGGGGGCUGCAGGAAACUAGUUUGCUGGAGCACCACUUCCUCUAGAAGCCACACAGAGACACACACAGACCCAAAAUGGAGGCUUUGGAGUAGAGGACUUUAAUGGCGACACUCAUCUCUGCGUGCCGGGUCAAAUAUCUCAACAUGGAUGUCGGCCCACCGUAAGCUCAACCUCGACAAGAUAGAGCUGCUCUUCCUCCCCGUUGGAAGGCCAGCCCGCUUCAAGACCUCUCCAUCAUCACGGUUGACAACAACUCCACGUUGUUCCCCUCCAAGAGUACAAUGAAACCUUGGCGUGACCCUGGACAACACCUGCAAACAUCAAAGCACUGACUUGUUCCUGCAGGUUCAUGAUGAAAUCUUCAAAGAGUAUUAACCCACCACCAACUUGCCUUUCAUUUAACUAACCCAUUCAUUUAACUAACCCAUUCAUUUAACUAACCCUUUCACUUAACUAACGCAUUAAUUUAACUAACCCAUUCAUUUAACUAACCCUUUCAUUUAACUAACCCAUUCAUUUAACUAACCCAUUCAUAAAAGU